UUACAGCCAUAUCACAUUGAAAAACCAGUUCCCAUGUGAUGAUCAAAGUUAAGCAACAUUGAGUCUGAUCAGUACCUAGAUGGGUGACUGCUUGGGAAUAACAGAU